AUGAGAAAACUUUCCCUUUCAUCUAAUAUUCAAGGUAUAUAUAGGCAGAGUAUGGUGUAUAAAUCAAACACAGCUUUCCUUGAACCCAAAAUGUCGUUGCUCUAUAUCUUUUUGGUGAGUUGCUGCUUACCUGGCUCAAUGGGAGGUGCUGUAGAAGAAUUUCAAGAAAACCUCAAGGCUCUAGUGGCUCUAGCAAACAAAGAGAUCUUUCUUCCAGUACCCAAGGGGAAAUUUCAGUGCAGUCAUGUUCCCUGUCAACUUGAACGAACCAUAGAAGGACUGAAAGUUUCCUUUAAGAAUAAUUCAGCAGGAACCCAUAUUUCUCUGAUGGAGAAAAACAUGGAUCACAUUACAUCAACUUUAAAGAAAACACAUAUACAACCAGAGAACACCAUAUCCUGUCUGAUAAGGUACCUGCCUCGACAGAGAGCCCUGAACCACUUCACAAAAUAUUUCCAGAGCAUGCAUGAGAACUGCUGGGAGUCCUGAUAACAGGUGUUGGCACCCCAAAUACUUGGAGACAACUCUUACCCAACACUAGAGCUGAUUCUGAUGGAAGACAGACCACCACAAAGAGACACCACAAAGAGUUAACAUGAAUGUUUAAUAUAUGAAUUAUUAACCUAUUUAUUUAAUUUAUAGAGAACCUUUAUAUUUUUACCCUAAUGUUCAAUGUAACCAUGAAUAAAAUAACUUAAAAUAUUACA
rnacentral:lncRNA from 1 species